CCUACGGGUGGCAGCAGUAGGGAAUAUUGCUCAAUGGGGGAAACCCUGAAGCAGCAACGCCGCGUGGAGGAUGAAGGUUUUCGGAUUGUAAACUCCUUUUGUUAGAGAAGAUAAUGACGGUAUCUAACGAAUAAGCACCGUCUAACUCCGUGCCAGCAGCCGCGGUAAUACGGAGGGUGCAAGCGUUACUCGGAUUCACUGGGCGUAAAGCGCGCGUAGGCGGGUUAGCAAGUCAGAUGUGAAAUCCUAUGGCUUAACCAUAGAACUGCAGUUGAAACUGUUAUUCUAGAGUAUAGGAGAGGUAGGUGGAAUUCUUGGUGUAGGGGUAAAAUCCUUAGAGAUCAAGAGGAAUACUCAUUGCGAAGGCGACCUGCUAGAACAUAACUGACGCUGAUGCGCGAAAGCGUGGGGAGCAAACAGGAUUAGAUACCCGAGUAGUC
rnacentral:rRNA from 1 species